GUCUACGGCCACGCCACCCGGAAUGUGCCCGGUUCAUCUGAUCUCGGAAGCUAAGCAGGGUCGGGCCUGGUUAGUGCUUGGAUGGGAGGCCACCUAAGAAUACUGGAUGCUGUAGGCA
rnacentral:rRNA from 1 species